rnacentral:misc_RNA from 1 species
AACGCACAUUGCGCCCGCUAGUAAUCUGGCGGGCAUGCCUGUCUGAGCGUCAUUACACCACUCGCUCCCGGCGCCUGUCGGGGGCGGCGUUGGGGAUCGGCCGCCCGUCACUGGGAGGCCGGCCCCUAAAUUCAGUGGCGACCGCGCCGUAGCCUCCUCUGCGUAGUAGUAACUCACCUCGCGGGCGGAGAGCGGUGCGGCCCGCCGUAAAAACCCCCCCAACUUUCUCAGGUUGACCUCAGAUCAGGUAGGAAUACCCGCUGAACUUAA